AGCGGAGGAAAAGAAACUANCANGGAUUCCCCUAGUAANUGCGAGUGAAGCGGGAAAAGCUCAAAUUUAAAAUCUGGUGGUCUUUGGCCGUCCGAGUUGUAAUUUAGAGAAGCGUCUUCCGCGCUGGACCGUGCACAAGUCUCCUGGAAUGGAGCGUCAUAGAGGGUGAGAAUCCCGUCUUUGGCACGGACACACCAGGGCUUUUGUGAUGCGCUCUCGAAGAGUCGAGUUGUUUGGGAAUGCAGCUCAAAAUGGGUGGUGAACUCCAUCUAAAGCUAAAUAUUGGCGAGAGNCCGAUAGCGAACAAGUACCGUGAGGGAAAGAUGAAAAGCACUUUGGAAAGAGAGUGAAACAGUACGUGAAAUUGUUGAAAGGGAAACGCUUGAAGUCAGUCGCGUCGACCGAGACUCAGCCUUGCCUUGGCUUGGUGUACUUCUCGGCUGACGGGUCAGCAUCAAUUUUGCCCCUUGGAUAAUGGUGAGGGAAAUGUGACACCUUUACGGUGUGUUAUAGUCUCUUGUCGCAUGCAAGGGUCGGGAUUGAGGAACUCAGCACGCGCCUUUGGGCGUCGGGGCUUUGCCCACGAUACGUGCUUAGGAUGUUGGCAUAAUGGCUUUAAACGACC
rnacentral:rRNA from 1 species